UAACCUCUGACGAUAUUCGUGUAUGUUG
rnacentral:ncRNA from 1 species